rnacentral:rRNA from 1 species
UACAGAGGUCUCGAGCGUUAGGCGGAAUCACUGGGCUUAAAGCGUGUGUAGGCGGAUCGUUAAGUACCUUGUGAAAUCCCACGGCUUAACCGUGGAACUGCUUGGUAUACUGGCGGUCUUGAGCCAGCUAGGGGCUACCGGAACAAAUGGUGGAGCGGUGAAAUGCGUUGAUAUCGACAGGAACGCCGGUGGCGAAAGCGGACCGCUGGCCCUCUUCUGACGCUGAGGCGCGAAAGCCAGGGGAGCGAACGGG